GCAUAUCAAUAAGCGGAGGAAAAGAAACCAACAGGGAUUGCCCUAGUAACGGCGAAGUGAAGCGGCAACAGCUCAAAUUUGAAAUCUGGCGCAAGCCCGAGUCUGUAAUUUGUAGAGGAUGCUUCUAGGUAGCGACCGGUCUAAGUUCCUUGGAACAGGACGUCAUAGAGGGUGAGAAUCCCGUAUGUGACCGGCCCGCACCUUCUACGUAGCUCCUUCGACGAGUCGAGUUGUUUGGGAAUGCAGCUCUAAAUGGGAGGUAAAUUUCUUCUAAAGCUAAAUACCGGCCAGAGACCGAUAGCGCACAAGUAGAGUGAUCGAAAGAUGAAAAGCACUUUGGAAAGAGAGUUAAAAAGCACGUGAAAUUGUUGAAAGGGAAGCGCUUACAACCAGACUUCUGGGCGGUGUUCCGCCGGUCUUCUGACCGGUCUACUCACCGUCCCGAGGCCAACAUCAUCUGGGACCGCCGGAUAAGACCUUAGGAAUGUAGCUCCCCUCGGGGAGUGUUAUAGCCUGUGGUGAUGCGGCGCGUCUCGGGUGAGGUCCGCGCUUCGGCAAGGAUGUUGGCGUAAUGGUUGUCAGCGGCCCGUCUUGAAACACGGACCAAGGAGUCUAACAUCUAUGCGAGUGUUCGGGUGUCAAACCCCUACGCGUAAUGAAAGUGAACGGAGGUGGGAAGGGUAACCUGCACCAUCGACCGAUCCUGAUGUCCUCGGAUGGAUUUGAGUAAGAGCAUAGCUGUUGGGACCCGAAAGAUGGUGAACUAUGCCUGAAUAGGGUGAAGCCAGAGGAAACUCUGGUGGAGGCUCGCAGCGGUUCUGACGUGCAAAUCGAUCGUCAAAUUUGGGGUAUAGGGGGCGAAAGACUAAUCGAACCCAUCUAGUAGCUGGUUUCCUGCCGA
rnacentral:rRNA from 1 species